ACUUCACUAGAAGCAUUACAGGUGUGACUGCUGUGUCACAUGUGUGCCAGCAGGUGGCAGAGAGGAGCGAGAUUAUGUCUAUGCUCAGUGUUCUGACCUAUCAACAUCUGAAUGAUUAGUAGCCUGACAUU